GAAUCUUUCAAAUGGUUGUUCCGCGCUUUUAGUAAGGCGAUGCAUUGGAAGAAACCAGCGGCAAUUCUCACAGAUAACUGCUAUCAGAUGGAAGCGGCGAUCAAAGCUGUGUGGCCUGGUGCGUAUCACAGAGUUUGCAAGUGGCAUAUUUUGAAGAACGCUAAAGAGAACCUUGGAAACAUAUAUAGCAAGAGGAGCACAUUCAAGGAUGAGUUUCAUAGAGUUCUGAAUGAACCGCAGACAAUAGACGAGUUUGAAAAAGCAUGGACUGAUUUAAUCAAGAGGUAUAAUCUAGAGGAGAGUGUGUACUUGAAACGGAUGUGGGAUAUUAAGGAGAAGUGGGCUCCUGUUUACUUCAAGUCUUAUUUUUUUGCUAAAAUGUCGACCACUCAGAGAAGUGAGAGCAUGAAUCAUGUUCUGAAGAAGUAUGUGAGGCCAUCUUCCCUAAUGAAUGUGCUUGUUAGAAAGUAUGAAAGUUUCUUUUAUGACAGAAUUCAGGAGGAAGACGCAGAGGAGUUUCACACAUCUGAUGACAAGGUGAUUACAGCAACGAAGUCGCCUUUGGAAAAACAUGUUGCACGUGUUUACACAAGAGGUGCUUACAAAAAGUUCAAGGAACAAUUUGUGUGGAGUGUCUCGUAUGAUAUAAGACCAUCGAUGGAUGAACAUCAUUUUAUGGUGAUACAUAUGGGCGAAGAAAAGGAUAGCUGGGGCAGGAGAGAGUAUGAUGUGUAUGCAAAUAUCGGUGAGAGAGAAUUUUCUUGUGUCUGCAAACUGUUUGAGCACUUGGGAAUACUAUGCCGGGACAUAUUGAAGGUUAUGGUGCAGUUCGGGUUCAGGGAGAUACCAGAACAGUACGUGAAGAAGAGGUGGACUAGAAGUGCUAGAGAUUCCAUCCCAGAACACCUAAAAGAGUACGUAAAUGAUAAUGAAGCUGCU
rnacentral:rRNA from 1 species